AUACGAACUGUGCAAACGUUAUUCGGAAUCACUGGGCUUAAAGGGUGCGUAGGCGGACUUGAAGGUCCGAUGUGAAAUCCCACGCCUCAACCGUGGAAUUGCGUCGGAAACCACAAGUCUUGAGGGAGUCAGAGGUAAGCGGAACUGAUGGUGGAGCGGUGAAAUGCGUUGAUAUCAUCAGGAACACCGGUGGCGAAAGCGGCUUACUGGGACUUUUCUGACGCUGAGGCACGAAAGCUAGGGGAGCGAACGGGAUUAGAUACCCCAGUAGUCC
rnacentral:rRNA from 1 species